AGUAACAGAGCGAAAAUGGCGUAGAACGGAGGCUGUGCGGAGACGGGGGACGAGGGGACCUUCUCCUCUCCGGGUUGUAAGGAGGGGGAAAACAGGGCCCUGCGGUUCUUUGGUUUAUUCUUCUUUAAGUAUGACCUCACACGGCGCGGUCACUCUAUACAGAAUUAACCCGGCAUACGUCCAGUUUGGGAGACCUGGAUGUGUCACUGUAGAGGAAGAAACCCCCCUGGCUUUUGUUUACCAUUGUGAGCUGCAGCAGCUCGAACCCCAGAGGAAAUACCUCCGCAUCAUCUCGGACCAACUGUCACACCAAGGAUGGGUUUCCCAUUUAGUGCAGCUGUGAAACCAGCUGAAGCCCAAACUGGAGGAACAUCUGCCUUUAAAUCAGCCCCAGCACCAUCGACAGACCACUUUCACGGCCAGCCAGACUUUUGGAGGUAAAGGACGAAGAGGCAUUGUGAAGAUGACCUCUUUUUGGGGCUUUUUGGGACACGGGUGCCCUCCUGGGACAUUGGCUCUCUCUCUCUCUCUCCCCUCCUCUCUUCCUGCAGCAUGAUAAUCUUUCAGGACAUCUGCCAAGAUUGUGGGCUACUGUGACUUCCAUCAAGCACACUCAUGUAGCAAAACGCUGGCUUUGCAGUCACUUAAUUGGCUGAAAGGCCGGGAGUUUCAGUUCUCCGUGUAAUGGCCUGAAAGACUCCAUCAUUAGGGCAUUUUCAGUCAGAUUUGGGUUAGAUUCUUAUCAGGCUGCAUGUAAACGUAGUCACUGAUGCAAAAAUCCCCCACAUGCUCUAUAAUUAGAUCAAAGCAGUUUGAUAAUGAACAAACUGCUCCUGUUACCUAGGAAGAGGGUAAAGACACACGAUACUGUAGCAAAGAUCAAGGUCUGUGAUUAAAUUCCAUUCAUAGGGUGUUUUGUUUUUUUUGGUUUGGUUUUUGCACUACCUCAUCGCCAGAACAAGUCCCAACAGGAGUGAAUGGGUGCGUGAUCGGUAAAUAGUAUCUUAAUGGUUGUCAAGCGCCGCAGCAGUUUCAUAUGUUGUUCCUGGAUAAAUUGAGUUAAAUAAGUGACGUAGUUGACAGGCGAAAUAGGAGCAGCCGGAAGCACACGAUUCAACCGUUUCGAGGAAAACGUUGACUCACUCAAACUGUGGUUCCCUAUGCAUCUGUUCUAAAGGAAGGUCACAAAAUAGUAUUUUUACUCCGUGAU